GUCUACCUUCGUACCUUAAAGUUGUUCUUAUUAAUCAUUUUUUUGUUGUUUUAUUUGUUGGUUCCAUAAAAAAUAAAUCUAUUUAUUGCACAAAUUUUGGACAAAAUUAAUCUUAUCCAUUCUCAUUCGAAUAUUUUAGUAAUGCUUAUGAUCUCCACGUAAUUUCUAUCAACUUUAUUUGAACAUUUUUAUCUUGCUUAUGGUCCUCACUUGUUUUCCACUAAUUUUAUAAAAUAUUUUUUAAUAGUUAUAUUUUUUAUAUUUUUUCCACUAACUUUCUUUUAAAUUUUUUUUAAUGUUUAUGGAUCUCAUCUUUCCUCCAUCAAAUUUACUAUUCAAUAAAAUAAUAUAUUUACCAUCUUAAAAUUUAUAUUUUUGUUAACACCCGUAAAUCUUCCGUUGUGAAAUUUUUUUUAAAAAACAGAAAAAUUACAAAUUAAAGCAUUACUCGUAUUAUCUAAUGUACCUUACUCUUGGUGUUAGAUUUAUUAUCUAUCUUAAUCUCAUCCAAAAAAAAUCAAUGCUAUUUCAAAGAGACCAAUCACGUACUUUCUCCGUUGCAAGUAUAUAUUUACUUGUAAUAUUUAUUUUUUCACACAGUUUAAUGCACUAAUUUAAUCCUUAAUAUCUUUAAUUAUGUAUAAUAAAAAUUUUAAAAAUUUAAUAUUAAUAAUCUUUGCAAUGAGACGAAUUAAACAAGAUCUCACUCGACUAUGUUUUAACUUAUAGAUAAAAAACCGCCUCCCUCCCCUUUUCUCUCUUCUCUCUAAAAAAACUCUAAUCUCCAUAAUUGGUUUGGAUCUAUUAUCAACCUUUUGGUUGAUGGUAAGUCUCUAAAUUUAUCCGUUUUAAGCUUUUUGAAUAUGAUUAUAAUAAAUUCUUGUCCUCUCCCUACAGGAAAAUUGUUCUACCCAUAUAUUAGGUUUUGAUCUCUCUCUUCAUGAGAGUUUGGAAUUAUGAAGUUUGGUUUGUAAUUGAUUUGUUGGUAGAGAUUAAUGCUAUAAUGCAGCAGACAUUAAAAUUACAAUUACCAUCAACUACAUCAAAUUCAAUUCUAUCUCAAGACUACAACAGGUCAAAAAACCCUCUCGUAAAAGGCUGUGUCAAACAGCGAUGUGAAAGAGGAUAUUCAGAAUUGUCAGAUCUCAUAUACAACAAUCGUAGCUUUGUUAAUUUUGAAUUAUCUUUGGUUAGAGUUGUUAUGUACUCGCUAAUUUUUAUCUCUGAUGUAGAUGUCAUAUAACUCUUUAUUAAUGAAUCAGGUAUUAUUCAAAAAAAAAUAUUUUAACUUAUAAAUUAAAAACUAAUUACAAAUUAAGAGUAAUGAAUAAAUAGUGUCAUUUUACCUAAUAUUGCAACUAAUAUGUAACCAUGGAAGUAUUAUCAAGUGUAUAUUACUCCUUGACCCUAGUGUUAGAUUUUUUUUUCCAAUGUCCUCAACUUACAACUUUUUAUAAGGACAUUCCAAGUAACACAAAUUCUGAAAAGGAGGCUUAUCUUAUGUCUUUCCAAAUUAACAUACAACACUCAUUAAUUCUUUACAUAUUACAACUUGCUCAAAAAUCUCAAUAAAGUUACAAAGUUAAUUAAACCAGAAAACUUAUCUCAAAAUACUUUAAUCACAAGAAAUUUGUAUACCCCAAAAGAGCAGCAAGCCAACCAUGAAUCCAGGCAAUGAAGAACACCUCCUUGAAUCUAAAAAAGGCCAUACCGACUCUCGGAAUGUCACUCAAACUCAAGGAAUGGACCCUAAUCCUAAGACUCGGAGAGAAGAACACAAAUAUCUACAGGACGAUAAAGAGGUACAAAUACCUGCAGGAUGAUUAAUCAUGCUGGACGAUAGAGAAACGUAAAUACUUGCAGUAUGGUCAAUUCUGCAGAACGAUAGCAGCGUAUAUAAUGACAUGGCGUAAGAUAACUGCAACCUUACUCAGAGAAAGCUGUCAACACUUGUAUAAGGCGAGGCAGCACACCUACCUCAUACCCUACCUAGGAAAAUAUACUAAAGGACAGACAGUGGGGACAGCAAAUCACCAAAUACCACAUAAGCUUACUAGAUAUUCCACAUGAUCCUUAAAAGGAUUUCAUUUAUGGUAAAAGCUAAAAAUGGCCAUUAGGGUUUUGGGAUCUUCUCCUAAGACCCCCGCUACUAUAAAUACACGAUGUCAAGCAUCACCAAGGGUAAUGUAUCUUCUUACACUAAAAACCCAUAAAAAAUAUUCUCUUGAGCUUUAACAACAAUCUUCUUAAGACCUUUACUGACUUAAUCAUUGGAGGAGGACCUCCGAAGGACCCCUCCCCGGCCCUCGUUUGUUACCUUGUGCAGGAGAAUAUAGUGAAACAGCCCAAAAAGCGACUUAAACCUCCCCAGUAUUUCAUAUAUACUGUGAACCUUAAAAGACAUUCUCAUCACUACAGUUAAGAUUGUUGAUUGUUCUCUCAACAGCGGGAACAACUGCAUCAAAAAUUCAUUCAGCAGAAAAUCAGUUAACUGUCAAAGAUAUCCUUCACCAAAAAAUUACCUUAAAAGGUCCUUUUAUUACCUAUCUUUGUGUUCAUUUGCUCUCUUUUUUAAAUUUGAUAGGUUUUUUAUGGGUACUACAUAAUUACAUUAUUUUCUCAAAAGCUUUUCAUAUUUCAAUUUUGUGUCAGAUAUUGGGUUGAUGGACAUACUGAUUUUUGGUGUUCAUUUAGUGAUGUUUUUCGGUUUGCUUUACAAGUACUUAGAAUGGAGUGCAUUUUGGAACUUAAGUAUGGCGAUUUCGAUCAUGGAAGAACAAUCUGGGAUCGCGGCGUUUGGGAUAUCGGAUUAUUAUGGUAAGCAUUGCAAGAAAACUGGGUUUGGACUAAUGUUAGGUGUUUUCAUGUUUGGUAAUGUUCUGAGAUUUGCCUGUUUGUUUGCUGGAUUGUGUAAUGGUGGAAGAUUUGGUGGUGUUUUGAUUACUUGUAUUGUUAUGAUGUUUUUCAUUGGGGAAUUUGGUUAAAUGGAUAGCUUUUUUUGUGUAUUUUUAUCAUUUUAAGCAGCAAACUAUGGAAAAGAAGUUUGAUGAUGAUCAAGAAUUGGGUGGUAGAGUAGUGAGUAAUACUGCUUUAUCUUGAUAUUGUGGUGUGGGAAGCAACGAAAUUUGUAAGGUGUAAUUUCGUAAGAGACUGUCGUUCGGUGAGACGAACUCAAAAUAAAAGGAGUUUAUAUUUUAAUAUAGUAAUUGUUAGUUGGGCUAUUUAGCCCAUGCAUGAAGAGCUCUUCACGGUGAGACCAUCUAACCCAAGAAUGUGUGGUUUGUAAGUAGAUCCUUGCAGUGAAAAAAGGAUUAAAUGGGCUGACUUAUUCAGUUCGACCGUCUUUGCAUAUAGUCUGUCUAUCCUUAUGAAAUUGCGUUAUUUUAUAAAAGUUGUGUUGAUUAUUAGCUCUAGUUUGUAAAUUUUUGCUAGAAAAAAGAAUAUCUAAAUUGUUGUUAGCUUGGUAUCUGAUUAAAUUAAACACCCGACUAAGUUAUUACAUGUUGGGAUUUUUUUUGUGAAUCAAAGUUAACUUUAUGAUUAAGCAGUAACUUUCUUUUGUACAAAACGUGUAUAAAUUCAGUAUAAUUAUAGUAUAUCCCUCUUUUAUAAAUAAUAAAUUACUACAUUCAUUCGAGUGA